rnacentral:pre_miRNA from 1 species
CAAGUACUCCCUCCCUCCGGAAUUACUUGUCAUCAAAAUGGAUGUGUCUAGAACUAAAAUACAUCUAGAUACAUCCAUUUGAAUGACAAGUAUUUUCGGACGGAGGGAGUACAAG